UCUCAAAUGAAGAACAUAUCACUUUCUCUCUCUGCUAUUUUUUUCUUUUUUGAAAGCAUUUCUUAAAUGAAGAACAGAUUCAUGUUUUACCUUAUUUCCUUCUUAUUACAUGUUUUACCUACUCUCCUUAUUACAUGUUUUACCUUCUCUCCUUCUUAUUACAUUUCUCAAAUGAAGAACAGAUCCAUGUUUUAAUUUUUUGAAGCAUUUCUCAAAUGAAGAACAUAUUUUACUUCCCAAAAAUCCAGAGAGAUAGAUGGUUAGAGAGAGAAGAUCAGAGAGAUAGAGGCAAUGAGGAUCGGUGAGAGAGGCAGUGAAGAUCGGAGAAAGAUCAGAAGAUCGAACAGGUGUUCCAUACAACAUCAGAUUCAGAUCUGGUUCAAGUGGUGGAGGUGACGGUGGUUCCUCCUGCCGGAAAACCACUUAGUAGUUACUUGGCGGUGGUGGUCCAUGAGUGACGUGAAGCAUGAUGUGGUUCAUAUGACGGUUCGAUGUUUCAGAUUACGGGGUCGAUGUUGAACAACUGGUUAAGAUCUGAAGCAUUUUUGUAAUUGUAUGUUACAUUUUUUGAUCUUGUAAAAAGUGGGUUUUAUUGUUCCAGAUCUAAAAGAUGAUCCGAAAUCUAAAAAGAUGAUCGAGUUCCAAGAUGCUACCAGAUCCAAAAGAUGCUCCAGAUCCAGUUGAAGAUGUUCGAUGUUGAAGAUGAUAUUCCAUAUAACGGUUCGAUGUUGAAGAUGAUCCAAAAGAUGUUCGAUGUUGAACAUGAUGUUCUAGAUCUAAAAGAUCCUAGAGAUCCAUAAGUACGUUUGUUUUCAGGGGUUUUUUUCAGAUUUGCAUUUUUUUUUUGUGUUUUGUAGAUAUUCAUUUUUUGUGUUUUGUAGAUCUGCAACUUUUUUUUAUUUUUUUUUGUUCAAGAAGAUGAAUGUUUUUUAGUUCUUGUUUUCUGGA